CUACGGGUUGCUCCAGUGAGGAAUAUUGGUCAAUGGUCGAGAGACUGAACCAGCCAUGCCGCGUGCAGGAUGAAUGUUCUAUGAAUUGUAAACUGCUUUUAUACAGGAAGAAACCUACUUACGUGUAAGUAGCUGCCGGUACUGUAUGAAUAAGCAUCGGCUAACUCCGUGCCAGCAGCCGCGGUAAUACGGAGGAUGCAAGCGUUAUCCGGAUUCAUUGGGUUUAAAGGGUGCGUAGGCGGAUUAUUAAGUCAGUGGUGAAAUCCUGCGGCUCAACCGUAGAACUGCCAUUGAUACUGGUAAUCUUGAAUGUAGUUGAGGUAGGCGGAAUGUGUAAUGUAGCGGUGAAAUGCUUAGAUAUUACACAGAACACCGAUUGCGAAGGCAGCUUGCUAAACUAUGAUUGGCGCUGAUGCACGAAAGCGUGGGGAGCGAACAGGAUUAGAUACCCUAGUAGUC
rnacentral:rRNA from 1 species